rnacentral:rRNA from 1 species
UACGGAGGUCUCAAGCGUUGUUCGGAUUCAUUGGGCGUAAAGGGUGCGUAGGUGGCGUGGUAAGUCGGGUGUGAAAUUUCGAGGCUUAACCUCGAAACUGCAUUCGAUACUGCGGUGCUUGAGGACUGGAGAGGAGACUGGAAUUCAUGGUGUAGCAGUGAAAUGCGUAGAGAUCAUGAGGAAGACCAGUGGCGAAGGCGGGUCUCUGGACAGUUCCUGACACUGAGGCACGAAGGCCAGGGGAGCAAACGGG